UACGGAGGGUGCAAACGUUGCUCGGAAUCAUUGGGCGUAAAGCGCACGUAGGCGGCCUGAUAAGUCGGGUGUGAAAGCCCUGGGCUCAACCCCAGGAAGUGCACUCGAAACUGUCAGGCUUGAAUAUGGAAGAGGGUCGCGGAAUUCCCCGGUGUGAGAGGUGAAAUUCGUAGAUAUCGGAAGGAACACCUGUGGCGAAAGCGGC
rnacentral:rRNA from 1 species